rnacentral:tRNA from 1 species
GCCUGGGUGGCUCAGUGGCUUAAGCGCCUGACUUCAGCUCAGGUCAUGAUCUCGUGGUUCGUGAGUUCGAGCCCCACCUCGGGCU